GAUGAACGCUGGCGGCGUGCCUAAUACAUGCAAGUCGAGCGGACAGACGAUGAUCUUGUUCCUUUGACGUUAGCGGCAGACGGGUGAGUAACACGUGGAUAACCUACCUAUAUUACGGGGAUCACUACGGGAAACCGGAUCUAAUACCAGAGAAUAUAUUGAACCGCAUGGUUCAAUAGUGAAAUACGGCUUUGCUGUCACUUAUAGCUGGAUCUGCGCCGGAUUAGCUAGUUGGUAAGGUAACGGCUUACCAAGGCAACGAUGCGUAGCCGACCUGAGAGGGUGAUCGGCGACACUGGAACUGAGACACGGUCCAGACGCCUACGGGAGGCAGCAGUAGCGAAUGUUCGGCAAUGGGCGGAAGCCUGACGCAGCAACGCCGCGUGAGUGACGAAGAUGUUCGGAGCGUAAAGCCCGCUUAUUAGGGAAGAACAACUGUGUACGUAACCGAGGAGGUCUUGACGGUACCUAAUCAAAAAGCAACGGCUAACUACGUG
rnacentral:rRNA from 1 species